CACAAUAAAAUAUGAAGGCUGUACGCGGCUGUGCUCUCGGGCCAGUUUUGCAGAGGCUGAAUUAUUUAUUACCCUUGUCUUUUGCGCACUUGUUGUUUCCUGGGCGGGUUCGCCCGCCACCAGGACCACAUCAUAAACCUUUUUUAUGCAGUUGCAAUCAGCGUCAGUAUAACAAAUGUAAAUCAUUUA
rnacentral:misc_RNA from 1 species